rnacentral:rRNA from 1 species
UACGUAGGUGGCAAGCGUUGUCCGGAUUUACUGGGCGUAAAGAGCGCGCAGGCGGCCUGAUCAGUCGAAUGUGAAAGCCCCCGGCUUAACUGGGGAGGGUCAUUCGAUACUGUCAGGCUCGAAGGCAGGAGAGGGAAGCGGAAUUCCCGGUGUAGCGGUGAAAUGCGCAGAUAUCGGGAGGAACACCGGUGGCGAAGGCGGCCUUCUGGACGGAUACUGACGCUGAGACGCGAAAGCGUGGGGAGCAAACAGG